rnacentral:rRNA from 1 species
UACGUAGGUGGCAAGCGUUGUCCGGAUUUACUGGGCGUAAAGAGCGCGCAGGCGGUCGGCCAAGUCGAGUGUGAAAGCCCCCGGCUCAACUGGGGAGGGUCAUUCGAUACUGGUCGACUCGAAGGCAGGAGAGGGAAGCGGAAUUCCCGGUGUAGUGGUGAAAUGCGUAGAUAUCGGGAGGAACACCAGUGGCGAAGGCGGCUUCCUGGCCUGUUCUUGACGCUGAGGCGCGAAAGCUAGGGGAUCAAACAGG